rnacentral:rRNA from 1 species
UACGGAGGAUCCAAGCGUUAUCCGGAUUUAUUGGGUUUAAAGGGUGCGUAGGCGGCCUGUUAAGUCAGGGGUGAAAGACGGUAGCUCAACUAUCGCAGUGCCCUUGAUACUGAUGGGCUUGAAUGGACUAGAGGUAGGCGGAAUGUGGCAAGUAGCGGUGAAAUGCAUAGAUAUGUCACAGAACACCGAUUGCGAAGGCAGCUUACUAUGGUCCUAUUGACGCUGAGGCACGAAAGCGUGGGGAUCAAACAGG